rnacentral:tRNA from 1 species
AAGGUUUUAAGUUAAAAUUAAACUAAUAAUCUUCAAAAUUAUUCAUAAAGAAAUUUUCUUUAAGCCUUA